ACGCAGCCCGAUGUGGAGCUCGAACCUAUGAACCGUGAGAUCACGACCUGAGCUGAAGUUGGACGCUCAACUGACUGAACCAUCCAGGCGCCCCAACCUUCAAAUGUCUUUAAAAGUCAUUUAGAAAAUUCUCUGCUGCAUAGGUAGGUAUUUUAGAAAAUAUCCUAAGUGAGGUUGCACUUACAUGGGUUCUGGGUGUGUGUGGUUCUGGAAAGCUAUGUGUUAUCCUGUGUUGUAUCAGAUUUAAGCCAAUGGAAUAGGUGUUACCAAAGCAAUUCGAUGUAGUUAGCAGUUGGCUCAAUGCUCCAGAACUCUUCCCCUGUGGAACUUACCUUAGAGGCUGUGAAGAAGGGGGAAGAAUAGAUCUUCCAUCCACUGUCUUGUGGCAUACUGUUUCAAGAAAAAUGGACCAGUUAUUUCUGCAGACCAUAUGUGACAAUUAGUGAUGAAAAAAUAAGUUCUACUUGUGAGUCUGGCACAUUUCAGAUACCUAAUAAAUACUGACUGAGUGAAUAAAGGAAUGAAUACAGCCUCCUUAUCCCAGAUGUCCAAAGUGCUUAACACAGGCAUGUGCAAAAGGCCCAAGAAUGACUUGACUGGCUUUUACCCAAGGGUACCUUGGGAUCAGUCAGCAACAGGGGAAGAACUCUGAGUGUGGGCCAAGUUCACUUACGAGAAGAAGCUUUUGAUAAAAGCCCAGUAUUCUUAUCAAUAUUCCUCCAACUCUUUCUGCAGCCCUGGCAAACUCUUUUUGAAAAGCAAAUGCACUAGAGGCAGAAGCUGAAUCAGAAAGCCAAAAUGCAAGUCGCAUCCACAGUUGGGGAGCAAGACGUCUCAAAUAAACCCUUUGGUACAUUUGGGAGGAUGAAUUUACAACAGACCGACAGCACUUUUGAAUCUAUGUAUAGAAAUAUUCGAUUGGUUGCUGGAGGGACGAGUAGGCUCCACCUUCCUGGAUGCUCAGGGAUUUGCCCACAACCGUGAUACUCAGAAUGCGGUUUCUGGACUACCAACAUCAGAGGGUGUGGAAUUGACAAAAGAAAAUAGUGGGUCUGUAUGAGCAUGAAGCUGAUAGAAGAAAUCAUCAAAUACAAUCCUUAAGCCCCACAGUCCUUGUAAUGUUGGAGUUUGCAGAGACGGAACACUCUGAAAUAAAACACUAAGGGUGGCAUUGUGCUCUGACAUACAGACUCUAAAAGAAGACGCUAAAAUUUAUUAUAUAUUCAGAAGGAUGCUUAAAGUGUUGACAAAUUUGAAAUGAUUUUGCAAAUACUGAUGGGGCACCUUGGUGGCCCAAUGGGUUGAGCAUCCGACUCUUGGUUUCAGCUCAGGCCGUGAUUUCACGGUUCAGGGGAUUGAGCCCUGCAAUA